rnacentral:rRNA from 1 species
GACGUAGGGCGCGAGCGUUGUCCGGAUUUAUUGGGCGUAAAGAGCUCGUAGGCGGCUUGUCGCGUCGACUGUGAAAACCCGCGGCUCAACUGUGGGCUUGCAGUCGAUACGGGCAGGCUGGAGUUCGGUAGGGGAGACUGGAAUUCCUGGUGUAGCGGUGAAAUGCGCAGAUAUCUGGAGGAACACCGGUGGCGAAGGCGGCAUCCUGGACCGGUAUUGACGCUGAGGCGCGAAAGCCAGGGGAGCAAACGGG